AGGACGAACGCUUGCGACGUGCCUAAGAAAUGCAAGUCGAACGGGGUCAUCCUUCGGGGUGGCCUAGUGGCGAACGGUCGCGUAACACGUGGGCAACCUGCCCUGAAGCGGGGGACAACACACCGAAAGGUGUGCUAAUACCGCAUGUGAAUCGUGGUGGCAUCACCGAGGAUUCAAAGCCGCAAGGCACUUCAGGAUGGGCCCGCGGCCUAUCAGCUAGUUGGUGAGGUAACGGCCCACCAAGGCUUCGACGGGUAGCUGGUCUGAGAGGACGAUCAGCCGGAUUGGGACUGAGAUACGGCCCAGACUCCUACGGGGGGCAGCAAUUAGGAAUCUUGCGCAAUGGGCGAAAGCCUGACGCAGCGACGUCGCGUGAAGGAUGAAAUCUUUCGGGAUGUAAACUUCUUUUUACGGGGAAGAAACAAAUGACGGUACCCGAAGAAUAAGCCCGGCUAACUACGUGCCAGCAGCCGC
rnacentral:rRNA from 1 species